CGACGUAGCCUCUGUUGCUAGCAACCCCGAAGCAGCCUCUGUCGCUGCUGUUCCUGAAGCAGUCUCUGAAGAAAUUGCUGAUGGUGACGCCACUGAGGCCUACGCCACAGCAGAGCCCGCCGCCGCAGAUCAAGCCGCCGCUCUCCCUGCAGACCGAGCCGUCGCUCACCCUGCAGACCCGGCCGUCGCUGACCCUGCAGACCCGGCCGUCGCUGACCCUGCAGAACCAGCCGCCGCAGAUCAAGCCGCCGCUCUCCCUGCAGACCGAGCCGUUGCUCACCCUGCAGACCCGGCCGUCGCUGACCCUGCAGACCCGGCCGUCGCUGACCCUGCAGACCCAGCCGUCGCUGACCCAGCAGACCCAGCCGACGCUCACCCAGCUUGUGCGUACCCUACAGCCAGCGCUGCCGACCCGGACCCCGCAGCCACCGCUGCCGACCCGCACCCCGCAGCUGACCCGGACCCUGCUGCCACAGCUGCCAACCAAGAUCCUCCAGCAUCCGUUUCCGAUGCAGGCCCAGCAGCACCCUCUGCCGAGACCGGUCCAGCAGCACCUUCUGAUGGCGUCGCUGCUGAGGGCUCUGCUGUUCCAAGCGCCCCUGGCCGGAGUGCCCCUGUCCCGAGCGCCCCUGGCCGGAGCGCCCCUGGCCGGAGCGCCCCUGUCCCGAGCGCCCCUGUCCCGAGCGCCCCUGUCCCGAGCGCCCCUGUCCCGAGCGCCCCGGUCCCGAGCGCCCCUGUCCCGAGCGUCCCAGGCGCCCCUGUCCCCAGCGUUCCAGGCUCCCCUGUCCCAGGCUCCCCUGUCCCGAGCGUCCCAGGCUCCCCUGUCCCGAGCGUCCCAGGCUCCCCUGUCCCGAGCGUCCCAGGCUCCCCUGUCCCGAGCGUCCCAGGCUCCCCUGUCCCGAGCGUCUCAGGCGCCCCGGUCCCGAGCGUCUCAGGCGCCCCGGUCCCGAGCGUCCCAGGCUCCCCGGUCCCGAGCGCCUCAGGCGUCCCGGUCCCGAGCGUCUCCGGCGUUCCUGUCCAAGGUGUCCUUGCGCCGGUUCCAGGCGUCCAUGCGCCGGCCCCAGGCGCUCCGGACCCUGUCUCCAGUGUUCCUGGGUUCCCUGUCCCAGCUGCAGCAGACCCAGGGUUCGGUGCCGCCAGCCCUAAUGAACCAGCGAGUCCUGGUGCCACGUCUACCCCAGCCACUGGCCCUGCAACCCCAAACACCAAUCGAUAUCGCUGGCAUCUAUUUGUUGUUAGGGUUAUUGUUGUGUUUAUUGUUGGUCUGUUUGGCCGGUCGCCAAAGACUCUGCCCCUGUUUGGCCACCCACCCGGCCGGUCGCCAAAGACUCUGCCCCUGUUUGGCCACCCACCCGGCCGGUCGCCAAAGACUCUGCCCCUGUUUGGCCAUCCACCCGGUCGGUCGUCAAAGACUCUGCCUCUGUUUGGCCAUCCACCCGGUCGGCCGCCAAACACUCUGCCCCGGUUUGGUCACCCACACGGCCAGCCACCAGACAUUCUGCCCUUGCUUGGCCGUCCACCCGGUCAGCCACCAGACAUUCUGCCCUUGCUUGGCCGUCCACCCGGUCAGCCACCAGACCCUUCUUUCCAGCCUUCUGUCUGGCCCGGUCUGCCCGCCUGCCUUGCUCUGGACCCCCUCCACCCA
ensembl:lncRNA